GAGCGGCCUCCCAUUCUACAAAUCAAUCCCUGGCUUACUCCCGGUAGAGCUGGAAAUGAUUCUUGCCUGAAAUCCUUGAGUGUUCUUGCCAGUCAGCGUAGUCAGUAUUGACCUUGAUGGACCAAUGGAUCUGACUCACUAUUAGGAAUGGGCGACAAUUUUGAUUCAGUUCCCAUUUCAAGCAGAAUUGAUCAGACUCACAAUUUCCGAAACAGUAUCAGAACCGAAACAGCACCAUCCUUCGAAAUUUGCAUUUAUUAGUAUUUUGAGAUGCAGUUUGCCAACUAAACAACAUUUACAAAACUGCAUAUAUUAGGGGAAAGUGUGCAUAAAAAGGAAUACACGAGUGAAAUGAUAAAUGGUUUCCAAAAAUGUGUGCCUUUAUCAAAACUGCCUACAAAAAUGUGUUUAUUUGGAGAAAUUAGGGCUAAAGUGGUGAAUUUUCAUGAGGAUUUAAAAAAAAAUCCACAGAUCGCUGUAGAAAUGUAGAGAACUGAAUUUAACAUUGGAAAAAUGAGAAACUGAGAGAACCGAACCAGACAUGUCUUUCCAUCCCUGCUCACAUGGCAGCCUCCAGUGUCCCCCGGAUGUUAUUAUGCAAGUCUGACCCCUCCCUCACUACCUCUUAAAUUGAAUUAAGCCCUGGUUUGUAUGUAUCCAUUUACAUUUAAAUCCAAAACCAGAAUGUACUGCUAGCUUUAGGACCUAGAGAAGACUCUGCCUUGUGGGGAAGGAGGAGAUCUUCUGUUAGUUGCACACCUGUGGAAACAUCUACCUGGAUGCAGGUGAGAGGUGCAGAAGGAAGUUUGCUGUCGCCAGGUUGCAAGAGCAGGGUGCAGCCUGGAAUGGAAGGCAACCUUUUGGGUGGGCAAACCUACCUGUACACGGAACGUAGGGUGAUUCUUUUAUUUAAAAAAUGGCAGAUUUCUGCAGAAUCAAGAAGAACUGGAUUUACGAGUGGAAACUUGAGAAAUGAAGAGAACCGAAAUGGACUGAUCCUUCCAUCCCUAAGAGGAAUGCACCCUUUUCAGUUUUUUUGCAGAUCUGGAAAGUCCCAGGAAUGGAACGUCUGUGAACAUUUAGCGUAAAGCAACACUUGAGGAAAAGAAGACCGAGAGAUGCAAGAGGAGCGGAAAGAUGAGGAGAGCCACUUGGACUGUAACAAUUCCCCAGAAGAACCUUGCUCUGAGUCCUGGAAGUAUGUGGAGGUGGAGGCCAGGGAAAUGUCAGCUGCUUCUGCAUCCUCAGAAGACCCUUCUACAGAUCAGCUGGAUUCAGAUUUCAUCCCUUCUGUUUCCCUCGCUGCCUUUCUGGCCCUUGUGUUUUUCGUCUCUCUGAUCUUGCUUCAUCACAGAAACAGCUGCUUACCUUUGGGUGACUACAGGGCUGUGAGUCCCAGCAAGGCUUGUCCAACAAAAAGCAGCCUUUGGACCCUUUGCCGUCUCUUCCCAAACCAGCCAGAAACCACAUGGCAGACUCUUCAGCAAUACAUGCACGGCCAGCCAGGAGGGACUCAUCCCGGCAAGCUUCGGAUCCUGGUUGCUGUUGGGCUGGGUGAUGCAAGUGGUACUCUAUUGUGCCUCACAAAAGCAACUCUUUCAUUCCUGACAGAGGUACAUGCCGUGAGAGUUCGCUAUCUCGAGCAAAGGAGCACCUGUCUUUCUUGGAGGGACAUCCUAGAAAAUAGGACCUGCGAUAUCUCCACGGCUGAGAUUUAUGUGGGUCAGAGUCUUGUUCCGUAUGGAAUUAUGGUGUCCACAAAACUCUCCUUGGAUGGAAAAUGGUUGGCUGCCAAGAUCAAUCUUGCUAUGUUGUUGAAUGGUACAGAACAGGCUCGGGAAAUGUUCCUUCUCCAAGACUUGACGCUUCCCUUCAUGUCUGAUAUUGUGAACGCCAUUCUGCUUGCUGAUAAGAUACCAGAUAAAUUGAUGACCACCAACGGCAGCUUGUUUGUCCUCCUCGUAAGGUCUGAACAGUAUUUGGAAGGUGGUUUUGUCUGCUAGAGAGCCAGUGUGGCAUAGUGGUUAGAGUGUUGGACUAUGACCUGGAAGACCAGGGUUCGAAUCCCCACACAGCCAUGAAGCUCACUGGGUGACCAUGGGCCAGUCACUGCCUCCCAGCCUCAGAAGAAGGCAAUGGUAAAACCACCUCUGAAUACCGCUUACCAUGAAAAUCCUAUUCGUAGGGUCGCCAUAAGUCGGGAUCAACUUGAAGGCAGUCCAAUUACAUUUUGUUUGCUAAGUAGCGACUGUCUGGUGUGUGAAUGUUCUCAGAAGGGGCUACUUUCCGAUUAAUCUUUGGUGGGGCCACACAAUUACUGGGGAGUCUGGAAGGCAUGUCUUAAAAUGAAAGUAAUUGUUCCAAGGCUUCAUGUUAUUUGAAAAUCAUUUUUAUUUGGAUCUCCGCACUGGGACUAUUUACUAAUGCUGAUUGAUAGAAUCCUUUAUUUGAACAAGACUGAUUUAUGCUCCGGUUAAGAAUUUCUAUAUUA